rnacentral:ncRNA from 1 species
AUAUAAUUUGACUUUGGUUAUUAUAUAGGUUAUUACUAAGUUUAUAUAUGCUAGAUUUUAUUUUAUACGGUUUGUUUAUAAUUUAGUUAUUUUAAGUUUAAUAUUUGAAUUAAUUAUUUGUUAUUAAUAUUUUAUUAGAAUAUUUUAUAUAAGCUACGCAGUAUUUAUUAUUAUACAAUGGAUGAAAGUUUGAUAUAGGUAAUGUAAUUAAAAGUGGUUAAAUUGGUGCCAGCAUCUGCGGUUAUACUAAUACUUUAAAUUUAUAUAUAAUUUAGUAUAAAAUAAAGUUUAUUUAAAUUGAUUAAUAGAAUAUUUGAGAUUUAAAUAAUGGUAGGUAAAAUUUAAUUGUUAAUAUUAUUUUUAUUGUUCUAAUAUUGUAAUCUUUGAAAAUAGGGUGUAAAAACUAGGAUUAGAUACCCUACUAUUCCUUAUAAUAAAAAUUUUGUUACUUGAUUAGUAUAAAUGUAUAUAAAUAUUUACUUUUGUAUUUGAAAUUUAAAAAGUUUGGCGGUAUUAUAUAUCCUUUCAGGGGAGUUUGCUUAUUAAUUUGAUAAUCCUCAAUUUAUACUUACUUUUUUUAGUAUAAAUAAAUAGUUAUUUAUCAGUUUGUAUAUUUCUGUCAUCAGUUUAUUUUGUAAGAUAAUAUUAAAUAAACUUAAUAAUAAUAUUUGUUAUUAUGUCAAGUCAAAAUGCAGCUAAUAAAAAAGGUUUACAAAGUGAGCUACAAUUCAUAAUUUUUGAUCGGAUUAAUUCAUGUAAUUGUAUUAUGAAGUUGGACUUGAUAGUAAUAGUUUAAUAGUGUGUUGUUAUGAAUGUAGGUUUUAUAAUGCGUACAUAUCGCCCGUCGCUCUUGUUGGAAAAUAAGAUAAGUCGUAACACAGUAGGAGUAGUGGAAGCUGUUCCUGGAUUAAA